AUUGAACGCUGGCGGCAUGCCUUACACAUGCAAGUCGAACGGUAACAGGUUAAGCUGACGAGUGGCGAACGGGUGAGUAAUGUAUCGGAACGUGCCCAGUCGUGGGGGAUAACUGCUCGAAAGAGCAGCUAAUACCGCAUACGACCUGAGGGUGAAAGCGGGGGAUCGCAAGACCCCGCGCGAUUGGAGCGGCCGAUAUCAGAUUAGGUAGUUGGUGAGGUAAAGGCUCACCAAGCCGACGAUCUGUAGCUGGUCUGAGAGGACGACCAGCCACACUGGGACUGAGACACGGCCCAGACUCCUACGGGAGGCAGCAGUGGGGAAUUUUGGACAAUGGGCGCAAGCCUGAUCCAGCCAUGCCGCGUGCGGGAAGAAGGCCUUCGGGUUGUAAACCGCUUUUGUCAGGGAAGAAAAGGUUCUGGCUAAUAUCUGGGACUCAUGACGGUACCUGAAGAAUAAGCACCGGCUAACUACGUGCCAGCCGCCGCAGUAACAC
rnacentral:rRNA from 1 species